UACGGGGGGGGCAAGCGUUGUUCGGAAUUAUUGGGCGUAAAGGGCUCGUAGGUGGCCAACUAAGUCAGACGUGAAAUCCCUCGGCUUAACCGGGGAACUGCGUCUGAUACUGGAUGGCUGGAGUAUGGGAGAGGAAUGCGGAAUUCCAGGUGUAGCGGUGAAAUGCGUAGAUAUCUGGAGGAACACCGGUGGCGAAGGCGGCAUCCUGGACCGAGAUUGACGCUGAGGCGCGAAAGCCAGGGGAGCAAACGGG
rnacentral:rRNA from 1 species